UUUCAUACUGCUGUUGAUGAUGUGAAUUUUGGAAAUAUUCUCCCCUAUUGGGUCUUUCUCCAUGACAGAUGAUGUCCUUUGGCUUCGGUUUUUUGCCUAAGAACUGUAAGUGGUGCUUGCUAGCCCUACUAAGAAUCCUGCCAUUGUUGCAAAUUUCAGAAAAAAGGCUGGAGUGCAGUGGUGCACACGCCUCACACUGUGACACAGCGGGAGAGCCCAGAGCGACAGCUGUUGGAAUGACUGCACUCUUCCUGCUCAAGUCUGACCUUUCCAAGCCUUUGUCCUAUGUCUGGAGACUUCUUGGAAGCUGGAGCACACAAAUAGCUACAGCAAACUUGAGGAAUGGGCAUGAAUAGACUGGCUUCGGGGAACCUGCCAGCUUGGCCGUGUGGCCAAGGUAAUAGGCAAGCCAAGGCAGAGCUAGAGCUCAGAGCUGGAGGGGAAAUUAAAGCAGCAAAUGUAGAAACAUUAAGCCUGAAGAGGCGACGACGUUGAAUUCUAAAAUGCAGGCCAAAGCUCAGACUGCAAGCUGUCUGGCUGCUCCGGGUGUGCCCAGAAGUCAAAGUCCAGCAGGGGCAAAGGUGGAGGUGUGGUCCUGCACGUGGGGUGUUGGGGGGAUGUGGAAGAGGAGGUGCUUUAAGAUCCAGAGAUUCCAGCUGCCCUGGUGCACCCUUGGAAGAAUAAAAGGCUAGGAACUGGACAAGUCAGGCUCGAGUCCAAGCUGCCUGAGGAAUCGGGGAAAGAAUGGAGCUCAGAGUGGGAGGUCAGGGCAGUAUUUAAAAAUCCAGGAUAGCAGCAAAGCUGGCGGUGGCCCCUGACUCUGGUAAGGGCAGCCUGCAGCACCAUGCCAAGGGGGGCCUGACUGAUCAUGCCCUGCAUUUGCAAACAAGGAUUAGUAGGGUAUGAGUAGGAUUCUGCUGGUGCCUGGGAAGGCAGUGCCAUCUACAACUUUACAAAGUUUUAACAAAGGCCUGAAGGACACAACCUUCCCCAAAGUCCUGACGUCGCUGUUUGCUGGCAACAAAUAGAGUCAAAAGAAGAGAGGCACAGAAUGUGCCAGGGGUGUGCUGCGUACAGCCCCGAUGACCACAAGGCCUUCUUGGGUCAAGUUCUGCCAUCUCUGGUUAAGAUGGGCUCACCCUCUAGGACCCUGAUUGAGUCCUCGGACCACCAAGAGUGCCCCACCAAGAGCCUCCCUCUUCUGGUGACUCGUGCCUGCUUCCCGUGGAGAGCUCCAGAAGGGAGGAAACUGUGAGGAGGUGGAGAACGUGGCAGGGAUCCUAACUUUCUUACUGAAGGAAGUUCUUCACAAGUACCCAUCUGCCUUCAGGGAAGAAAACAUAACUCAUUUUGGUCUUUCAAAUUCAGUUCUCAAAACCAAAUCCUGUUGUCAGCAAUCUGUGUCCCAACGCCUUCUUCAGCAACAGCAUUUUCCCUGUGGAAUUAGUUUCCAAUGUUCUUUCUUAAAUAAACCACUGAAGAUUAAAAGGAAUCCAGAUACCCACCAC
rnacentral:lncRNA from 1 species